GCGGCGUGCCUAAUACAUGCAAGUCGAACGCACUGACGUCGACCGAAGCUGCUUGCAGUGGACGUUGAUUGACGUGAGUGGCGGACGGGUGAGUAACACGUGGGUAACCUACCCUUAAGUGGGGGAUAACAUUUGGAAACAGAUGCUAAUACCGCAUAACCAUUCAGACCACAUGGUCUGAAUGUAAAAGACGGCCUUUGGCUGUCACUUUUGGACGGACCCGCGGCGUAUUAGUUAGUUGGUAAGGUAACGGCUUACCAAGACAAUGAUACGUAGCCGACCUGAGAGGGUAAUCGGCCACAUUGGGACUGAGACACGGCCCAAACUCCUACGGGAGGCAGCAGUAGGGAAUCUUCCACAAUGGACGAAAGUCUGAUGGAGCAACGCCGCGUGAGUGAAGAAGGUUUUAGGAUCGUAAAACUCUGUUGUUGGAGAAGAACAGGGACUAGAGUAACUGUUAGUCCUUUGACGGUAUCCAACCAGAAAGCCACGGCUAACUACGUGCCAGCAGCCGCGGUAAUACGUAGGUGGCAAGCGUUGUCCGGAUUUAUUGGGCGUAAAGCGAGCGCAGGCGGUUUUUUAAGUCUGAUGUGAAAGCCUUCGGCUUAACCGAAGAAGUGCAUUAGAAACUGGGAAACUUGAGUGCAGAAGAGGACAGUGGAACUCCAUGUGUAGCGGUGAAAUG
rnacentral:rRNA from 1 species